rnacentral:rRNA from 1 species
UACAGAGGGGGCGAGCGUUGUUCGGAAUUACUGGGCGUAAAGGGCGCGUAGGCGGCCUGUUAAGUCGAACGUGAAAUCCCCGGGCUCAACCCGGGAACUGCGUCCGAUACUGGCAGGCUUGAAUCCGGGAGAGGGAUGCGGAAUUCCAGGUGUGGCGGUGAAAUGCGUAGAUAUCUGGAGGAACACCGGUGGCGAAGGCGGCAUCCUGGACCGGUAUUGACGCUGAGGCGCGAAAGCCAGGGGAGCAAACGGG